rnacentral:rRNA from 1 species
ACGUAGGGUGCGAGCGUUGUCCGGAAUUACUGGGCGUAAAGGGCGCGUAGGCGGUCUUGCAAGUCCCGUGUGAAAUCCCUCGGCUCAACUGAGGAACUGCACGGGAAACUGCUUGGCUUGAGUUCGGGAGAGGGAAGCGGAAUUCCGGGUGUAGCGGUGAAAUGCGUAGAGAUCUGGAGGAACACCGAUGGCGAAGGCAGCCUUCUGGGCCAACACUGACGCUCAUGCACGAAAGCGUGGGGAGCAAACAGGA